AACUUUUGACAAUGGAUCUCUUGGCUCUCGCAUCGAAGAAGAACGCAGCGAAAUGCGAUACGUAAUGUGAAUUGCAGAAUUCAGGGAAUCAUCGAAUCUUUGAACGCAUAUUGCGCUCUUUGGUAUUUCGAAGAGCAUGCUUGUUUGAGUAUCAGUAAACACCUCAAAGACUUGAAUUUGUUUUGAAUGGCUUUGGAGUUGAGCAAUACCAACACCAGUCUUUACGAUCGGUGGAGGGUUGCUUGAAAUGCAGGUGCAGCUGGACAUUCUCCUGAGCUAAAAGCAUAUUUAUUUAGUCCCGUCAAACGGAUUAUUACUUUUGCUGCAGCUAACAUAAAGGGAGUUUGACCGUAUUGGCUGACUGAUGCAGGAUUUCACAAGGGUCGGCAACGAUUCUUGUAAAACUCGAUCUCAAAUCAAGUAAGACUACCCGCUGAACUUAAGCAUAUCAAUAAGCGGAGGCU
rnacentral:misc_RNA from 1 species